CCUGUACCUGCUCGGAACGAAGAGGACACAAGUUGCAGUGUAGGCCGCGACUUUUCGUUGGUGUGUGCGAGUGUGUGUCUAUGUUGACAUCAACGAAGGAACCUCUCUGACACUAUUCGCACACUAAGGCGCACAGCAGCUAGCCAGAUCUGUUGUUUUCUUGCCUGGACGUGCGGCGUGUGUGCAGAAAAAGGAAAACCAGGAGUUGAAGUGCCAGCUGGACACCUCGCAGAACACAAUCGGUGGAGCCGGGAUUGUGAACACAUUGCGGAGCUCUCCAGCCUAAAGUCCAGGACCAAGAAUUUUCAUUUUGUGUGACAAAGGUACAUUACACCCAUUAACAU